rnacentral:rRNA from 1 species
GACGAACGCUGGCGGCGCGCUUAACACAUGCAAGUCGAACGGUGAACCGGGCUUCGGCCCGGGGAUCAGUGGCGAACGGGUGCGUAACACGUGGGCAACCUGCCCCAGACUCUGGGAUAACUCCGGGAAACCGGGGCUAAUACCGGAUACUCCGCCCGGACCUCAUGGUCCGGUCGGGAAAGCUCCGGCGGUCUGGGGUGGGCCCGCGGCCUAUCAGCUUGUUGGUGGGGUAACGGCUCACCAAGGCUUCGACGGGUAGCUGGUCUGAGAGGACGGCCAGCCACACUGGGACUGAGGUACGGCCCAGGCUCCUACGGGAGGCAGCAGUGGGGAAGCUUGCGCAAUGGGCGAAAGCCUGACGCAGCGACGCCGCGUGGGGGACGAAGGCCCUCGGGUUGUAAACCCCUUUCGGCAGGGACGAAGCGAUCGUGACGGUACCUGCAGAAGAAGCUCCGGCUAACUACGUGCCAGCAGCCGCGGUAAGAC